UACGGAGGGUGCUAGCGUUGUUCGGAAUUACUGGGCGUAAAGCGCACGUAGGCGGCUUUGUAAGUUAGAGGUGAAAGCCCGGAGCUCAACUCCGGAAUUGCCUUUAAGACUGCAUCGCUCGAAUCAUGGAGAGGUGAGUGGAAUUCCGAGUGUAGAGGUGAAAUUCGUAGAUAUUCGGAAGAACACCAGUGGCGAAGGCGACUCACUGGACAUGUAUUGACGCUGAGGUGCGAAAGCGUGGGGAGCAAACAGG
rnacentral:rRNA from 1 species